rnacentral:lncRNA from 1 species
GCCCUUCAAAAAUUUUAUUCUUUUUCUUCUUCUUCCUUCGAUCGACCGAAGGAAGAAAUUCCAAUAGAGAGAGAGUGGGAUGUCGGGGAGAGAGAGAGAGAGCAAUUAUGAGGAAAAUCACCGGAUCACUGCAGGUGGCUGUGAGAGACGUGACCUUCAAUGGUCGUGCGACGCAAGGAAGCCGAAAACAGCCUGGGUCCUGACAAUUUCCAUCCGGGUUCCACACAACUCGACUUCGAAAAAUCGAUGAAAUUUUUCCUCCGGAACCCAAGAUCUAUCAUUCACUUCGAUUCUUCUAGCCAACUAACGUAUCUUGGCAUGUUCAGAUUUAAAAAAUCAUCACCAGAGACGCCAAAUUUUCGAGUGACCCGUCAACCCAGUUCCACUGGUAUCAUGAUAGGACCCUCUACUUUCCUUUUGAUUUUUUUUUUUUUUUUUAAAUUCUGGUUCGAUUUUAAGCUAAAACUUGAACCUCAAUGUAGUUUAAAACUUUAAUCAGUUAAAAUUCACUCAAAAUCUCGAAUUUGUCACUGAUCCGAGAGAUCUAGAAAUGUUGGCAAGUUCUGAAACAACUUUGGAGCCACUAACUAAUUCCUUUUGCGAAGGAGAUUGUCAGUAUACAUAGUAGUGACCCUUAGACCUCAUUCGCAUGUUUUCAACUCGUCAUUUAACCCUCUUAAAUUUUGGUUUGAACAGGUUAAAAGGAGGUUGGUAAUCAUGCUAAAAUGGGUUCUGGGUAACCUUUCCAAGAGGCCAAAACCACCGCGAAAGACCUACAAGUGUCGGAAAAAUUAAUUUUGUUGAUUUUCCUUACAUUUGUUUGCUGCCUGGUUGAAAUCUUGCAUGUGCUUUCUCUGUUUAAGCAUGUUGGUGAUGUUUGGUGAAUACUUGGGUGGUUUUGAUGCAAUAAUUAAUCGGAAAUGCAUGAAUUAAAUUUAUGAGUAAAUUAAAAAUUUAAUGAAUAAUAAUUUGAUGAAUAGAAAUGUAUAAAAUUGAUGCUUGCUGAUUAGAAUGCAGGAAAUUAAUUUUGUAAGAUUGUUGGACAACUUAAAGUAACGAAAUUAACAA